GGGGGCACGGGUCCAGAUUGCGGGAGCCCGGCUGUCACCUCGGCCAGGGCGCUUACAGUUCCUACAAUGGAAAGGCUGUCUUCGACUAACUGGAUCGUGAGAAGCUUGCCUAAGCACCCGGGAAAAGUCUGAAUGCAGAAGGCAACGAAUCGACCUAUAUGGGCUAGGCAGGUCGGUGGCUAAGAUGCAAACGGAGCGGGGAGAGAAAGGCAGGCGCCCAUUGCGCUGUAUAUUAACUUUCCCUUUAGCCGGGCCCGUUCCCCUCCAGACGCGAGUUGGUGUGUGGGAGCCAUUCCCACGUCUGUCUGUCUGUCCGCCCGCCCGCUACUGUCCUGAGCUGCAUGUUACCUCCGUCCUCAUCCCUUCCCCCAGUCUCCAGUUAAACAAAGGCAGCGAGGAAAAAAGCAGCCCAGGAAGUGCAAAGUGGAAAGCGACCCUCUUCCUAUUUGACGACAGCGCCAAUUCCUUCGGGAUCCCACCUGAGAUUAAAGCCUGAAUUUCAAUAAAUCAGCUCUAAUGAAACCUCUGGCCCCGAAGAGGGGAGGGUUUGUCUU